UCCUGUGAUGGUAUGUAAUCUUUGAGACCUGAUCAUCUAAUCUGAUGACAAUUACAAGCAUUUUUGCUGAGGAC
rfam:Vitis vinifera, whole genome shotgun sequence of line PN40024, unoriented chromosome 5, chr5